rnacentral:rRNA from 1 species
AAUCAACGCUGGCGGCGGGGUUUAGGCAUGCAAGUCGAGCGAGAAAGGGGCAACCCGAGUAAAGCGGCGUAAGGGUGAGUAAUAGAUAGUUUACGUAUCCUGUUGACGCGGGAUAAUUUCCCGAAAGGGGUUGUAAUACGCGAUGAGACCACAUCCGAUCCGUCGGGAGAGGUCAAAAGGUUCGGGAUCCUUCGGGUACCGAGCGUCAAAUGGGGAGCGGACGAUCUCCGAUUAGCUUGUUGGCGGGGUAACGGCCCACCAAGGCGAUGAUCAGUAGCUGGUCUGAGAGGGAUGAUCAGCCACAUUGGGACUGAGACAC